UACGGGGGGAGCAAGCGUUGUUCGGAUUUACUGGGCGUAAAGGGCGCGUAGGCGGCCAGCACAGGUCAGUUGUGAAAUCUCCGGGCUUAACUCGGAAAGGUCAACUGAUACUGUGCGGCUAGAGUGCAGAAGGGGCAACUGGAAUUCUCGGUGUAGCGGUGAAAUGCGUAGAUAUCGUUUGGAACGCCAAUGGUGAAAACAGAUUGCUGGGAGUGUGCUGACGCUGAGACACGAAAGCCAGGGGAGCGAACGGG
rnacentral:rRNA from 1 species